GGAAGGAUGAACAUCACAUAACCUUACUCACCUACAUACAUAUGACAAAAUUAACUCUUACUUAAAUGCUCUGGGGGAAAAUUCAUAAGUGGGCUACAAUCAAAUGACUGUCCAGGGAGGGGGAUUCCAACCUGGCCGGCAUAUUCAUAGGUAGGCAUGCUAACCACUACACCACGGAGCCAGAAGAAUUAGCCACACUAUACCAGGACAAAUAAUUCUUAAUGUGUGCCCUGGUAAGAUUCAUAUGUGCAGCCCUGGUAGUGGUUCUUAUUAUGUAACAUAGUGAGUCAGUAUAAGGGUAUUGGUGAGUAAGUUUAUGGCCCCAAGUGACUCAGUGUUGGUUUAACCCGUCCGCUGUGACUGGCACGGAUUUGGCCUUCCCUGGUAGCCUGGUAACAUACACUCCCAGGUCUUUAUCUGCCUCUGUGGUGGAUAGUGGAGUGUUUCCCAUGUGGUAUUGGUAUGCUGGAUAUCCCUUCACUGGUAACCUGGUAACAUACACUCCCAGGUCUUUCUCUGCCUCUGUGGUGGAUAGUGGAGUGUUUCCCAUGUGGUGGUAUUGGUGUGCUGGAUAUCCCUUCACUGGUAGCCUGGUAACAUACACUCCCAGGUCUUUCUCUGCCUUUGUGGUGGAUAGUGGAGUGUUUCCCAUGUGGUAUUGGUGUGCUGGAUAUCCCUUCACUGGUAGCCUGGUAACAUACAGUCCCAGGUCUUUCUCUGGCUCUAUGGUGGAUAGUGGAGUGUUUCCCAUGUGGUAUUGAUGUGCUGGAUAUCCCUUCACUGGUAGCCUGGUAACAUACACUCCCAGGUCUUUCUCUGCCUCUGUGGUGGAUAGUGGAGUGUUUCCCAUGUGGUAUUGGUGUGCUGGAUAUCCCCUCCCAAGGUGCAGGACUUUACAUUUUUCUUCAUUGAAUUGUAGCAGUCACUUUUUGCUCCAUUUCAGUAGCUUGGUGAUGUCUAACUGUAGGAAAUCCGCAUUCAAGGGGUUAAUUAACCUAGUAGCACAUUUAGCACGUGCUACAGGCCCCGCGGGAACGUAAAAAAUUAGUAACUAAAGUUUUUGCCCUUAGGCACAGAAGGCCAAGACAAAAUAAUUACUCAUUUUCCUAAUUUUUUGUAAUAUUAUUAUAAAUGAUAUUACAAUAUAUAACCCGGUAGCUGUGGGGAUCAUG